rnacentral:rRNA from 1 species
AGUGAACGCUGGCGGUAGGCCUAACACAUGCAAGUCGAACGGCAGCACAGUAAGAGCUUGCUCUUACGGGUGGCGAGUGGCGGACGGGUGAGGAAUACAUCGGAAUCUACUUUUUCGUGGGGGAUAACGUAGGGAAACUUACGCUAAUACUGCAUACGACCUACGGGUGAAAGCAGGGGAUCUUCGGACCUUGCGCGAUUGAAUGAGCCGAUGUCGGAUUAGCUAGUUGGCGGGGUAAAGGCCCACCAAGGCGACGAUCCGUAGCUGGUCUGAGAGGAUGAUCAGCCACACUGGAACUGAGACACGGUCCAGACUCCUACGGGUGGCAGCAGUGGGGAAUAUUGGACAAUGGGCGCAAGCCUGAUCCAGCCAUACCGCGUGGGUGAAGAAGGCCUUCGGGUUGUAAAGCCCUUUUGUUGGGAAAGAAAAGCAGCAGGUUAAUACCCCGCUGUUCUGACGGUACCCAAAGAAUAAGCACCGGCUAACUUCGUG